rnacentral:lncRNA from 1 species
UACGCAAACGUCCAAAGUGGGAGGGCAGAAGACGGAGGAAGGCUGGAGAAUUUGCACAUCAGUCUUGUGGCUGUUGAAGCCCACCAAGAAUUUCUCCUUUGUACCUCCUAGAAAGCGGCCAAAGACUCCGGGAGCCUCCUUCCUGAUCUCUGAACAUGAUAUGUGCGGGAGGAGAUAUGCAAACACGGUUUCACCAAUCUUCCGCUCCCUUCCAUGGAACAAAGCUGAGCACAGACAGGAUGUGCUGUGGGUGCUAAGCAGAUCGAUUUUGUCUCCAGCAUGCCAGAGUGUCCACUCGGAAGAUGGUGGGGUGUGUAUGUGCACUUGUGCGUGCGUGCGUGCGUGCAUGUGCGUUUAUUGUUUCUGAGCCCUAAGCCAUGGCUGGGUCUUGCAAAUUAGACUUAAAAGUAAAUGGCUUGAGAAGCUUAGCAAAAGUCUUAA